UACGGAGGGUGCAAGCGUUAUCCGGAUUUACUGGGUUUAAAGGGAGCGCAGGCGGACUGGUAAGUCAGUGGUGAAAGCCCUGGGCUCAACCCGGGAACUGCCAUUGAUACUAUCAGUCUUGAAUAUCGUUGAGGUUUGCGGAAUGGGUCAUGUAGCGGUGAAAUGCAUAGAUAUGACCCGGAACACCUAUUGCGAAGGCAGCAGGCUAAGCGAAGAUUGACGCUGAGGCUCGAAAGCGUGGGGAUCAAACAGG
rnacentral:rRNA from 1 species